ACCAGCUACUCAGGAGGCUGAGGCAGGAGAAUCACUUAAACUCGGGAUCAUGUCACUACACUCUAGCCUGGGCAACAGAGCAAGACUGUGUCUCAAAAAAAUAAAAGAAGUUGUAAGGACUGCAUGAGAUAAAGUGGGCAAUGAGUCGCAACUUGUGUCCCAGGCGAGGCCCCAGCAGAGGGCCUUCAGGAUGGUGAUGCGAGGACUCUGUAGGUCUAAUUUCUUCCACUGCCUCGCCAAGCCUUUCUUCUCCUUAGGUAAACCCACUUCCCUCAGGCUGAAGGGAAAGGAAGAACGUUUCUCCAGCUCCUUGUCAUGCAGGACUGGAAGGUGGGAGGGCAUUCUGCCAGUCCAGCACAUCAACUUUGCUCUGACAAAGGUCAGCCUACCCAGAAUAAGGAAGUACCUGCAGCUGGGAAAGGUAAAUCCAAACUUGAAAAGACAGAUACUACGCAUUUGAAUCAACACAGGAGUGCAGAGGGCUUGCAGAGCCCUGUUUAUGGGGCAAUAAACGAUUUAAAUGACUCUGUUGGAACCCACAGGUCUUCUUGAAAGGCUUAUCACAGGAACUGCUAGUAGGGCUCCAGGAGGUCUGGAGGGUGAGGUUGGGGUGGCUUUUGGUUUCUGCCUGAAGCUGCCGGUUCCCCUCCAUUCGGAACACCAGCCCCUGGAGAGGCUGCCAUGAGAACUAUACCUUGACCUUCCUGGGGUGCUCCAUGCUGACCUUCCUGGGGUGCUCCAUGCUGACCUUCCUGGGGUGCUCCAUGCUGACCUUCCUGGGGUGCUCCAUGCUGACCUUCCUGGGGUGCUCCAUGCUGACCCAGAUGCCCCAGCCACUGAACCCAGGACGAAAGCUGCAGAACUGAACCUGGUAAGUCAGUCCAUAACAGUCCAUGGAGGGCAGUUUAUAUAAAUUUAUAAGUGAAUCACCUGGCUGCUCUCCCCAUCUCCUGUAGCAUCCCAGCCUUGGGGCUGGAUUGUGCAUCAAGGUUUGGCCAGGUCAGGUGACCCAAAAGCUAUAAGGGUCUUACUGAUCCUCUCCUAGCUUCUGGGACCCCUGACUGACUGAUACAAUAUUAGAGAUCAGAAUGCCUCCCCAAAGGAACACCCCACUUUAAUUCAACUGUCCCUGGAUUCCAGCCUCCUUUGUGCAUUAGCUUUUGUUUGAGCCUUUCAUAAAUGAUGACAGUGAUUUGGGUUCACAUACCCUCCUUUUUUGAGCAAACAUUUAUCAAGCACUUAGUGUGGGCUUGAAAGAACACACUGUUCGCUGGGCGUGGUGACUCAUGCCUGUAAUCCCAGCAUUUUGGGAGGCUUGGGCAGGCCAAUGACCUGAGGUCAGGAGUUCAAGACCAGUCUAGCCAACAUAGUGAAACCCCGUCUCUACUACAAAUACAAAAAUUAGCCAGGCGUGGUGGUACAUGCUUGUAGUUCCACUACUUGGGAGGCUGAGACAGGAGAAUCACUUGAACCCGGGAGGCAGAGGUUGCAGUGAGCCAAGACUGAACCACUGCACUCCAGCCUGAGAGACAGAGCAAGACCCUGUCUCAAAAAAAAAAAAGAAUACAUUGUUCCAAGUUCUUUACAUAAAUUAUCUCAAUGCCAUAACUCUGCUAUUAUUAUGUCCGUGUUACAGAUGAGGAAGCUAAAAAAUUCUAGUGCAGUUACUAUCUAUAGUGAAAUGCUCCAAAGGGAUGUUUUGAAGACUAUUGAAGGAAUUGAGAAGAUUGGAAGGCCAAGAUCUGAACAAAUGUUUAGCCACACAGUAAAUACAUGGCAAGCUGGCAGGAUGUCAUUUUUCUCUAGCUAAAGAGAAAUUGAUCCAACGGAGGGGCUAUCCAGAAAGAAUAUUGGAUUGGGAGUUGUGGAACGUGGGACACAAGGUCUGAACUUGUCACUGAUCAAUAGACCUUGAACAAGUUACCCCUCUGGGCCUAGGUUUCCUUUUCCAGUGAAAUAGGGUCUUGGGGGGCUGGCUCUGGCACCCAGGCUGCUUGCCACAUAUUUACUAUAUGGCCAAACACUUGCUCAGGUCUUGCCCUUUCAAUCUUUGCAACUGCUUCAGUGGUCUUAAGGAUGCUGCUUUUGAUCCAUUUCACUAUAGAGAAUAACAGCACCAGAAAUUUUCAGUUUCCUCAUCUGUAGUAGGGGUGAGAGUAAUAACCUAAGGUUCAAUGACACCACCAGUUACUGGCCCUGGGUUCUGCAGAGCAGCUGGCAGUGGCGUUCCUGGGAAAUGAGCUGGUGGUUGCUACAGUUGGGCUCUUUCCCUGAACAGCUGGUGUGGAGAGUAAUGCGGGGGGAGUGCGGGGGACAUGACAACCUUUGAGACUCUGGCCAACUGCAAUGUCUAUUAAGGGUGGCCCAGAUGGCUGCUAGCCAAUAAUCCAUGCCCGUGUGCUUUGCAAGUUGUAGUCUCUCCUUUUGAAGGUCUCUCUCCAGAAGAUGGGGAAGGAAGUUUGUCUCAGUCCACUUCCACACCUGUCCACCUGAGCUGGACCGUAGCCUGAGCCUCUGUCUCCGUAUGGAUCCCAUGAGUAUCCUGCUUCCCAAAGCCAAUGUGUGGCUCGUCACAUGGGCUCCAGGACCACAGUGCUUUCUUGAGCAGGCUUUCGGUGGUGAUGGUGGGUGGUGGUCUCAGGGAAGAUCACACUCCCUUUCCUCCCACUCUGUUCCAAGCACAGAUACAGGAUCUUCUCUUAUUUUCUCAAGAUCGUAAGGUUAAUACCUUUGAGGCUGAAGUUGUUAGGGCUGGCAAAAGAGAGUUUUAAUUACAGAAGAAAAACAGCUAAGUUGGAGGUUGCCUUGAACUCUCCUGGUGUCCACUGCUCCAUGGCCUGGGGUGCCCUACUUGCCUUUUAGCUCCAGGCCUGCUAGGCCUGCCAUCUGAUGACAGAGCUCACUUAACUCCCACAGAGAGGAAGGCAUUUGUUCAGAUGUCUCCUAUCUGGAGUCCAGGCCCCAACUUUCUGUUUUCCUCAAGAGAUGAGAGGAAGUCUUCCCAAUUCCCAGGUGACUAGGGUAGCUCUAUCUGUCACUAACCACAUGACAGUCAUUUAUAUUAGCAUACAUAGCCAUUUAUUUCCUCUUGUCUCAACCUGUCCAUUCCAGAAUUAGCUCUGAGCCUUUCCUCUGCAUAAUGAAAAAGCCCAGUGUUUUUCCCAAAACAAAAAGCAGUCUUUUCCCUUAGGUAGAUUUUCCUGCUUCCUCUUGCUAAACAAUAAACAGCUGAAGCUUUGGAAUUACUGUGUGCCUUGCUUCAAGCCUUCAAGCCUUGCAAGGCUAUCAGGGUCUGACAUGAGAGCUCCCCACCAUAUAAGUAAUAAUCAGACAUACACAGUCAUAUGUGAGCCAGUCACAGAUGGAGGCAGAAGGUGCCAGUCAGCCUUCAGAAGUAGGUCCUUCCAAGAGUCAAGGUUUCAAACUAAGCAUACAAUUAGAAUGGCCUUCCAGUCUUUAGUACAUGACUUCAUCAGUCAGCAAGACCAAAUUACCCCUGUGCUUAUUUAGGAGAAAAAGAAAAAAAAGGGCAAUGACCUAUGAAUAAACACACUUGACAUUGAAAAUUGCUAUAUUAAAUACCCAGCUCCUCUGCACGAUUACAGCAGCUCCAGAGCUCUUCCAAAUUGUCACCUAGGAUGAAUAUGACAGCAAACAAUGCUUUAAAAGUAAGUAAUCUGCUCUAUAAUUAUUUUAGCGGCUGCAGCCACCAGCCACCAGAAUCACUUAUGAAAAAUGAUGCAGUCGUUCCUUAUUAAAAAUGCAUGAAUAUACAGUCUCUUGAUUGUGGAAAUGAUCAGCAGACUAUCUAAUGUAACAAGACUUCACCACAGAAGAAUUAAUUAGAGUGAAAUUGAUUAAGGAGAAGAGGGUAAAAAUCUAUCUGUGAUGAUUCAGGCUCCAAUUAAACUCAAGCAUUAAUUCUCAUAUUCUUUUCAAAUUAAGAACCUCAUCUAAAUGCUCCUCAUUAAUAUCCCACCUUCCUUUAAUCAGAGAAAAAUGCAGACAUUUCUAAUGAAAGCUUAAGAUCCUGUUCUUGUUGACUCUAAAGCUUCUUCUGUCUUAAGGAUUUCAGGAGAUUGAAGUUUUAAAAAUUAUUUUAAAUUAAAGAUGGGGGGUGGGUCGUAAAACCACCAAAUUUAUUCUGGUCUUGAGCACUGAAGAUUUUGUUCCGAGAUUUCUCAAAAGCUAAAGGAAGCAUGCAACACAAAUAAUUAUGUGACAGCCUCUUGAAUUCUCUUUGUCUCGUGGUAACCUGCUCCGGUACAGAUAACAGAAGCUGAAGGGGUCAUAUAUUCCAUCCCUUGCCUUGAGACAGAACUAUACCAAACCAGAGACCCAUCUGUAAUUAUCUACCAUCUCCUGAGAGGCCUCCGGGGAUCAGGACUCCACAACUCCCUUGGUAACGGGAUCGAGAUCUGGCAGCUAAUAUAUUCCCAGCUCAGAGCUGUUCCUCUCCCUCCUCCUUCUGCAGCCAUUUGAAAGAUGGGAGGAGAAACUUCCCCACACCAUUGAUUUUUCUUUCACUUUUCCUGCAUUAGGAGCCCACUGUGGUUCCUGGUUCUUUGUGUCUAGACUGUGUUUAUAAUUCACAGGUCACUGACCUUUCCUUGUUACUCCAAUGACUGCUGUCUUUGCAGCUCUUCUUCUAUCUGCUUCCCUAGGUUUUCUCCCAUGGACGUUAAGGUUGAGUACUUCCUUUGUCUGGGCAAGGACAGGCAGCUCAUGGCCAAGAGGCAUCCAGAGGGCUAGGAGCCUCCUCUGCUCUGGAUGCUCCUACCCAGCACUACAGAGUAUCCAGAAUCACCAGCCUUAUCAGUGAAGUUGGGGAGACUGGAGUAAAGAAGCAAUUUCAAGCCCUUUGUUUUGCUUUGUAUUAUCUUGUUUUCUCUUUACCACCCUGAGAGUGGUCAUGGUUCCCAUAUUACUGGGGAGACUGAGCUGUUCACAGAGGCCUUCAAGCAGGACCAUGAGAACAGGAAGCAGAAUUUAGGCUGCCUGGGGAAGUCCAGCCAGGCUGUCCUCAAAAAUUUACCAGGCAGCCGCCAAAGAAGAGGGCACUCCAGGCAGAGGCAACUGAAAUAGGGCAUCUGGGAAGAGCAUGAAUGUGGCAGCUUCAUCUUCCUGAGCCUACAAGGGAGGUCCCAUUUAGAUUUAUGAGAAAAUAUCCAUGGUGUCCCCUCUCCACACAGCCCUACUUGCUGGUCUCAACUGCUUCAAGCAUAGGUGGGGAGAUGUCUGUGGAGGGAGGAUCUGGGGUAGAUAUGGCACCAUGGAGUUGAGGGAGUAAAGUCACUGAGGCGCAGUCAUAUGACCUACAUCCUGCUCUACCACCCACACUUCCAUCCCCAUGUUCACCAUACAUGACUUUGAAUGAUAAGGAAGGAAUAUGGAGAGGUGACAGGGGCCUGUCUCCUCUCAGGAAGCUCCUUCACUUCUAUGUAAAUUUAUAAAUGCAAAUUGUUAUGUGGGGGCAGAGACCCUGAAGCAGCCAAGCCCCAGAUGCAAAUAAUUAUGCUGGUGGGAGUGGGGGGGUUCACCCAAACUCUGCCCAUCCACUGAGCCUAGGAUCCCAGGCUCAACCAAAAUGUCCCAUGCCCUGCACACACCGCCAUGGCCAGUCCUCUUCUCUUCCCCUUCCGCCCUUUUUACUUGAUUUGUCUCCCAUCUGUUCCUCAAUUUGGUUAUUAGCAAAUUGGUUCUCAGGAUCUACCUGGGACUUUAACUUUGUCCUUGGUACUAAGGAGCCUGCAAGAAAGAAACAUGUGAUUCCCGUCCUAGAGAAUGUCACAGGUUGCAGCAAGAUACCAUUAACUCAGUCAAACAAAGCAAGUGAAAACCCACAAUGAAUAGUCUAUCAUACAGUAUUAAACUGAGUGCCACCAAUUUAAUGUUUAAUGAAAUCACAGAAAGGAAGAAACUCUUGGGAGGGAGGCUGGGGUGAUCAGAAAGGCUGCUGGGAGCAGGUGGGACUUGAAUUAGGUCUUGAAACUGAGUUGGCAUCCCAUGGAUUAAGGAGAGAUAGGAAAGAUACCAGUGAAGGGCAGGCCUGAGCAGACACAGGCUGGAAGGCACAUUAAGGAACACUUCAGCCUGGCUGGAGGGGAAGGUACUUGUUGAGGAGUAAGGAAAGCCAAACUUUGCAAGACCUUGAACGCUAGGUGUAGGGGUUAGGAUGUUAGCUUAGACAGUUCGUUCCAAAACUUUAGUGUGCUGCAGAGGAAUGCUGGUUAACAUGAAGGUUCCUGGCUGGAACCAGUGGCUCAUGCCUGUAAUCCCAGCACUUUGGGAGGCCAAGGUGGGCAGAUCACUUGAAGUCAGGAGUUCAAGACCAGCCUAGCCAGCAUGGUGAAACCCUGUCUCUACUACAAAUACAAAAAUUAGCCAGGCAUGGUGGCUAUUUGGGAAGCUGAGGCACAAAAAUCACUUGAACCUGGGAGGCAGAGGUUGCAGUGAGCCAAGAUAGCACCACGGUACUCCAGCCUGGGAGACGGAGUGAGACUCUGUCUCAAAAAUAAAUAAAUAGGGCAGGCGCGGUGGCUCACACCUGCAAUCCCAGCACUUUGGGAGGCUGAGGCAGGCGAAUCACAAGGUCAAGAGAUUGACACCAUCCUGGUCAAUAUGUUGAAACCUCAUCUCUACUAAAAUACAAAAAAUAGCUGGGCAUGGUGGCACGCACCUGUAGUCCCAGCUACUUGGGAGGCUGAGGCAGGAGAAUUGCUUAAACCUGGGAGGCGGAGGUUGCAGUGAGCUGAGAUCGCACCACUGCACUCCAGUCUGGUGCCUAGCGACAGAGCGAGACUCUGUCUCAAAAAAAAAAAAAGAUAAAUAAAUAAAUAAAUAAGCAAAAAAGAUUAACCGGGUGUAAUGGCGGUUGCCUGUAAUCCCAGCUACUUGGGAGGCUGAGGCAGGAGAAUCAUUUGAACCCAAGAGGCAGAGAUUGCAGUGAGUCCAGAUCAUGCCAUUGCACUCCAGCCUGGCUACAGAGCAAGUCUCUGUCUUGAAAAACAAAAGAAGAUUCCCAGGACUCAGCCUCCAUAGGGAUGGGGCAUUUUAAACAAGCAUUCCAGAUGACUGAUGGUGGCCUACAUACGUUUGCUAGGUCUUCUUGCAUCUUUGUCCAUCCUGUGCAGCUGGCGUGGCCUGUGGGUAGAGCCAGGACUUUGUUUGCACCAUGGAAACUCCAGGGCCACAGAGGUUUCACCAGUCUUGGCAAGGAUGUUAAGCCUUGUCUCCUAGGAACCCAGAGACUGGGCAGGAAUUAUUUUGACUAUGCUAUAGCCAAAGGGAAAGCAGCUCUGAUGAAAAAUAUUAGAGUCAUUCCUUUAGAAGAGUCGAGAAGGUGCCUCAGACCCUGGCACCAUGCGGGGCCUCUGUUACAUUUCCCUACUUAUUAAAAGUGUGGCAAACAAGUAAGUUUUGUGAAGAUUAUUUUUAUAUGAUUAAAGUGUUCAGCUCUAGGUUCCUUUAUUUUUCAUCUUUUGAGAUGGAGUCUUGCUCUGUCAUCCAGGCUGGAGUGCAGUGGUGUGAUCUCAGCUAACUGCAACCUCCGCCUCCCAGGUUCAAGUGAUUCUCCUGCCUCAGCCUCCUGAGUAGCUGGGAUUACAGGUGAGCACCAUCAUGCCCAGCUCAUUUUUGUAUUUUUAGUAAAGACAGGAUUUCACCAUGUUGGCCAGCCCAGAUUCAAACUCUUGAACCCAAGUGAUCUACCCACCUUGGUCUCCCAAAGUGCUGAGAUUACAGGUACAGGCGUUAGCCACCAUGCCUGGCCAGCUCUGGGUUCCUUUAAACCUAGAGGAAGGUUUAAAUAGCCAUUUUUUUAAAAACAGCCAUUGCCUCUUAGCACUGAUAUAGACAUUGCAUCCCAGAUGUGCCCUUUAAUAAAUGUGUUUUAUGGCAAGUUACUUGCUCUCUCUAUUAAAUUCUGUUAAACUUCUCAAUUUUUAUUGGAAAAUUUUAAACCUAGAAGAAAGUUGAAAGGAUAAUACAGGAAUACCAGUAAAUCCUUUAUCUAAAUUCACCAAGGGUUAAAACUUCGCCAUUUGCUUUAUUUCUUUCUCUCUCUCUUCAUAUGUAUGUAUAUAUAUGUAUAUGUGAAUAUAUAAAAAUAUAUUCACAUACACAUAUAUAUGCAUUUGCUAAAGUAUUUGAAAGCCAAAGAUUUCAUGAUGCUUAAAUACUUAAGAGCAAAAACAGGCCAGGUGUGGUGGCUCACGCCUGUAAUCCCAGCACUUUGGAAGGCUGAGGUGGGAGGAGCACUUGAGGCCAGAAGUUUGAGACCAGCUUGGGCACUAUAGUGAGACCUCAUCUCUACUAAAAAAAAUUUUUUUAGUUAUCUGGGCAUGGUGGCACAUGGCUGUAGUCCCAGCUACUGGAGAGGCUGAGAGGGAAGGAUUGCUUGAGCCCAGGAGUUGGAGGUUUGCAAUGAGCUAUAAUUACAUCACUGUACUCCAGCCUGGAUAACAGAAUGAGAUCCUGUCUCAAAAAAAAGAACAAGGACAUUCCUCUUAUAAUUUCUCUUCUAACCAUAAUUUCAUCACAUUCAAUAAAUUUGAUGUUCAUACAGCAAUAUUAGCUAAUGUAAUAAAUAUAUUUAGAUGUCCUCAAUUCUCCCAAAAUAUCCUUUAUGGCUUAUUUAUUCAUUUUUAGAAACAGGGGCUCACUCUGUUGCCCAGUCUGAAGAGCAGCAGCACUAUCACAGCUCACUGUGGCCUCACACUCCUGGCCUCCAGCUAUCCUCCCACCUCAGUCUCCCAAGUAGCUGAGAUAAAGGCACACACUACCACAUCCGGCUAAUUUAAAGUUUUUUUUAGAGAUAGAAUCUCACUAUGUUGCCUGGCUGGUCUCGAACUCCUCUCAAACACCUCAGCCUCCUGAGUCACUGGGAUACGACUUAAAAAUAAAAUCCAGUAUACAACAAAGAUUUGAAACCAGUUUGUUUAAUUGUCAUAUUUCUUUAGUUUCCUCUAAUCCAUUCUCUUCCAAUAGUAAAGCACUAUUGGAAAAUAGUUUGAGUUUGAGGAGUUUGAGGCCAGCCUGGCAACACAGUGAGAUUCUAUCGCUAAAAAAAAUUUUUAAUUAGCCAGAUAUGGUAGUGUGUACCUUUAUCCCAGCUACUCGGGAGACUGAGGUGGGAGGAUAGCUGGAGGCCAGGAGUGUGAGGCCACAGUGAGCUGUGAUAGUGCCACUGCUCUUCAGAACAGAGGACUAGAAGAGUCCCGCUGCCUUUGUUGGUUGCUUGUUUUUCAUGACAUUGACAUUUGUGAAAAGUCUAGGGAUAAGUUGUCUUGUAAAACGUCUCACAAUCUGGAUUUGUCUGAUUCGAUCAGGUCAGAUACAUUUGGGCAAGAACAUGCCAUGGAGGUGAGGCUGUGCCUUCCCAUCACACCAGGUGGCACGCCAUGUCUGUGUCCUGUUAGUGGUGAUGCUACGUUGGAUCUACAGGCUAAGGUGCACACCGUAGAUUUUGACACUAGGUUACAUUUAACUAAGCACUAUGCAACUCUUAUUAAUCAAUGUAGUCAAAUUAUAAAGUUGUUGAAGGUGAGAACUGAGGCUUUGCCUUUGGAAAAUAGUGCUUUACAGUUUACAAGACUCUUUCAUACAGAUUACCUCAUUUGCUCAUCAGACACCCCGGAGGGAAAUAUUUCAUUUCCACUGCACAGGAAUGCAGAUCUCACUGUGCUUUGGAGCCUGACAUUGAAUCAUAAAUCUACCCAUUAAUAAAUGUGUCUUAUGACAAGUUACUUAACCUCUCUAUUAAACUUCUGUUUACUCAACUGCAAAAUGGGGAUAAUAAUGUCUUCCUCCCAGAGUUGUUAUGAAGACCAAAUGAGGGUAAUGAAAAUAAAAUGCUUGCCACAGUGCUUAGCACAUGCAGAAUACUCAAAAAAUGCAAGUGCUGUGUUUAUAGAGCUAAACAUGUUGUACAUACACGUGCUCAACACGAAUGUAGACACUGAUGUACAGGAGGUCAAGGUCAGGCCUGUGGCCAACUCAGCUGAGUAAACAGCAGAACCCAGAUUCAAAGCCCCAUCUGCCUGCCUGACUCCAAAUCCAGGUCCCAUGCUUGUUCUCCACACAAUACCACCCUGCUGGUGAUAGGCCAACCAGUGUUGCCUUGUAUGAACCAUUUGGGGAAAAUCACUUUAAUAAUGUGUAUAAAAAUUAGAUUAGAUUUUUUUUUUUUUUUUUUAGACGGAGUCUGGCUCUGUUACUCAGGCUGGAGUGCAGUGGCACGAUCUCUGCUCACUGUAACCUCCGCCUUCCUGGUUCAAGAGAUUCUCCUGCCUCAGCCUCCCAAGUAGCUGGGAUAACAGGCACAUGCCACCACAUCUGGCUAAUUUUUUAUAUUUUUGGUAGAGACAGGGUUUCAUCAUGUUGGCCAGGCUGAUCUCAAACUCCUGACCUGAAGUGAUCCACCGGCCUAGGGCUCCCAGUGUGCUGGCAUUGCAGGCAUGAGCCACCGCCCCCGGCCAGACUUGAUCUUAUUUACAAACAAUUUCAUAUCUUAUUUACACCUAAUUUCCAGAAGCGUGAAGCAAGGCCGUACUUCUCUGAUUAUACAGAGUUGGCCAAAGGGCCCCAUGCUGAUGCCCUUUCUUCCCAGAAAUCAGCCUGUAUGCUGCCCUCAGCUCAUUGCUGUGUGUUACUUGGCAACCUGGCAACAUACCCAAACUCACCACAUUGAAUGGCAAUCACUGUGCAUCUGGGAGGCAACACCUUGUGGCUGGACAGUACUGCACAGCUGACCCCAAAUGUUCCCCUGUCCUUCCCUGUUCCUCAAGGUCUUUGGUCUGGAGUGGGGGCAAGACUGGAGAAUGGUCCUUGGUCAAGGUCCUUGGUUUAGGGGCUCAGGACAGGCAGAGGUCCCUGAAAGUCCCACCAAGUGUUUUCACUGGAAGUUCCCAUUCCUACUUUCUGCUAAGCACCCCAGCCCGACCCCAAUCUACAUAGGGAAAAUCCACAGCAGCACUAAGCCAUCAUUCUGAGUCAAAGGUCUUCAUCCCCUUUGAAUGAUGAUUGGUCCAGUUAAGAAUUAAUUCCAGGCCGGGCACGGUGGCUCAAGCCUGUAAUCCCAGCACUUUGGGAGGCUGAGGCGGGUGGAUCACGAGGUCAAGAUAUCGAGACCAUCCUGGUCAACACAGUGAAACCCCAUCUCUACUAAAAAUACAAAAUUAGCUGGGCAUAGUGGCGCGUGCCUGUAAUCCCAGCUACUCAGGAGGCUGAGGCAGGAGAAUUGCCUGAACCCAGGAAGCGGAGGUUGCAGUGAGCUGAGAUUGCGCCGCUGCACUCCAGCCUGGGUAACAAGAGCAAAACUUCGUCCCCCCCAAAAAAAGAAUUAAUGCCAGGCUGGGCUUGGUGGCUCACACCUGUAAUCCCAGCACUUUUGGGGGGCCAAGGCGGGCAGAUCACGAGGUCAGGAGUUCAAGACCAGCCUGGCCAACAUGGUGAAACCCUGUCUCUACUAAAAACACAAAAAUUACCUGGGCGUGGUAGUGUAUGCCUGUAAUCCUAGCUACUUGGGAGGCUGAGGCAGGAGAAUUGCUUGAAGCAGGACCGGGGAAGCGGUGGUUGCAGUGAGCUGAGAUCGAGCCACUGCACUCCAGCCUGGGCGAGAGAGCAAGACUCUGUCUCAAAACAACAACAACAAAAAGAAUUAAUUCCACCCAGCUGGGAUUGUGAAGUGUGAAUUUGCUGUUCAGGUGAGGUCAGAGGUCUAGGGAAGGAAAAAUCACUUCUAGCCAAGGUUUCACAGAGGAGAUGGGCCUUGGGGAAGGGGAGUUGGAUAGUCAACUAGGAGGAGGAAGGCAUUCCUGAUUUGAAGGAGUGGAAUACACAUCAAAUUAGUAAAGGCACAGAAGUAGGGUAGAAAAAGGCUUGGUCAGGGAACUGCAAGGUGGCAUCUGCAGGGAGGAGAGGGAGGAGCCCCUCCCUUCCAGACAGAGCAGAUCAGGGCUGUAGAGUGGCUAAAUAUUUCAUUGAUGGAAAAUUGGAUAUGGCCAUGGUGCUUAGGCUGUAGACUCUAAUUUCAUGGCUGGAUGUACUCAGAUGGCUGAUUAGGCUGCAGGAGAGAUGCUGCCUCCCCAUUCCUGGUUUCCUGGCCACAGGAGGGUGCAGACACUGACCUUUCUUUCCCUAUGAGGUCAGCAGGCGUACGUGUUCUGGGUCUGUGAAGAUGAACAAACCCUCCACCCCAGCCAGACACCAUUGCUUCACAGGUCCCAGACCCACCUCGGCUCCAGUUAUUCAGCGGACAUACAUUUCACACCUACUACAUGUCAGCUAUCAUGGGUGGGCACAAAGGAGAUACAGAUGCCUCUGCCCAGGGAGACAGCAUAUGGAAACAGACCCCCUAACAGGUCUCUAACUGCGGAGACUACCAAUGAAGUGCUAGGUCUGAGCUUCACAGAGGAGGUGCUCCCUGUGCUCAUGCAGUCCCUGUAGGGAGGAAGCGGAAGGCUGCUAAGCAGCACUCAGUGAGGACUGACUUCUGGCUAGGCACUGUGCUAAGAGCAUCUUGAAUUCUCACAGUUACUGUCAAAAGGAGAUACCAUAACUGCUAAUUGCAUAAACUAAUGGCAUUCUAGCAGGAACAUGUGCAAAAAAUACACAUGAAAGAACUUCGAACUAUGAGGACCAUCUAGCAGUUUGGAAAGGCUGGCACAUUCAUUGGAGGACCAAAGGGGGCUGGAAGGAAAUGAGCCUAGGAAGGUGGAUGGACUGGGGCUUUGCAUGUCAGGAUAACACAUCUGGACUUUUUCCACUUGGCUUUGGGAGGCUUCUGAAGGACAGUGAGUGAAAAAGACAGGGCCUAGUGUCCUCUUUCCAUUUUCCAUCCCAGUGGCCUCUCUGGCUCUGGCCUCCAGAUUGUAAUAAUUCCCCAUCAUAUCAACAAAUACGAUUACACACCUUUACUGUGAGCCAGGUACCUUUCUGGGCACUGGGGAAACAGCAGUGAACAAGACCAGGGUCUCAUCUCACGGAACAAUGGAGGAGGGAGCAGUAGAGGGAGACAAUCACCUAGUAAGCAAAUACAUAAAUACAAGAUCAUCUCCAGUAGUCAUAGGUGCUCUGACAAAAUGAAAACAUAGAAAUGAAACAGACAGUGAAAGGGGAGGGGAAGACGCUUGAGAGGGGACAAACAAGAAAGGCCUCUUGGAAGAGAUGACAUUUGAGUUGAGACUUGAAAGGUGAGGGGCCUGACAGGAGCAGAUAUGAGGAAGGGUAUUUCAGAAUGAGGUGCAGGUACUUACAAAACCCUGAGGUAGGAACCAUUUGAGUGGGUUCAAGAAAUAUGAGUCUGAGUAUGUCCAGAGCAGAGUGGGCUGGGGAGGGAGUGAAGGAGGAGAGGAAGACUUGUAGACCAAGGUGAAGUUGGAAUUUUAUUGUUCAGUAUUCAGCUCAAGGCUGGGCAUAGUGGCUCCUGCCUGUAAUCCUAGCACUUUGGGAGGCUGAGGUGAGCAACACAGUUUCCUUUCCUGGGGUUUGGGAGAAAUACUCAGGGAAUUUGGUGUCUGGGCAUUUUCAGAGUUCUUGCUUUACAGAAGACAUUGUUCUCCAGCCUCCCAUCUAGGCAGAAAUGGUAAUAUUAGAGUGAUCACCCUGGGAACAACAGGGUAGGGUCCUGUCUGGGCAGGAAUGUGGGAACUCAGAGAACUUUCUGCAUGCUCUAAUAUCAACUUAAUCCUUUUCCUCAAAGAGGAGGCCCUCAGACGCAUCAGGCACAUAUGUGCUUCUGAACAAUAUCCCCAGGGGUGAGAAGGAUAUCCCCCUGAGAGAGGACUCCGGACUGCUGGAGGAAGGCUGAUACAGUGAACAGAGAAGGGCUUUAGAAUUAGGCCUUGGGUGUGUUUUUGUGGGUUAUGAUGAUCAUUUACUUCUAUGAAUUCUUGUUUCCUCUCCUCUCCACGGAGCUACAGUUGGUAAGGAUACAGGGGUCUCAGGACAGGGGGUUGGGGAGAUAGUCAAUUUCUUCCAUUUCAAACCCUUUCCUGAAAGUAGAUUAAGUUCUUAGAGAACAAUGACAUUCCUGGGCCACAGAGGCUGCUCUUCCCCAACAGCCAGGCAAAGAGCCCUUAACAUCAGACAAAGCCUGAGCUGAUUCCCUAGGGAAUAAGCAGUGCGAGGCACAGCAUGGGACAGCCAGAAGGAGCAGUCCCGGCGUCCCAGAGCAGGAAGGGAGGAAAUGCCAAGGCCACACAGGACAGAUGGCAGAUGCCUGGAGAACAUUUUCAGGGACAGAUUCCUUUCACUUCACCCAUGAGCCAUUGCAGAAUUUCAUCCUCUUGGCAGCCAACAGGGUCCCUCUUUCUGUGAACCAACCCUUCUAUUGCAGGGCCACCUCUCAGCCAUUCCUCCACGGGCAGGGAGAAGACAUACCUAAAGCCUGGCCUGGUGAGUCCUCAGAAAGACUAAGUCAGCACAAAUCGCUCAUUCUGAGUCACAGAUUUUUUUUUUUUCCGACAUAAUCUCGCUCUGUCACCCAGGCUGGAGUGCAUUGGUGCAAUCUCGGCUCAAUGCAACCUCUGUCUACUGGGUUCAAGCGAUUCUCCUGCCUCAGCCUACUGAGUAGCUGGAAGUACAGGCACAUGCUACCACACCCGGCUAAUUUUUGUAUUUUUAGUAGAGACGCGGUUUCACUAUAUUGGCCAGGCUAAUCUCAAACUCUUGACUUCGUGAUCCACCCGCUUUGGUCUCCCAAAGUGCUGAGAUUACAGGUGUGAGCCACCAUGCCCGGCCAAGUCACAGAAUCUUGAGCCCUUUUAACACCUCUGCUCUUUUCCCCAUCAGUGGCUAGAUUGGUGUUUGUCCUGAGAAUGAAGUAGGGGUAGGUCAGGUGCCCGCAAGGUGGUUUCUCAUGCCCUAGCCUAUGGACAAUGGGAGCUAGAGAAACAAAGAUGGCUGAGGUAUUAGACCUAGAAAGUCCAAGGACUGGCCUCCUCAAAAAUGAACUGGACUGCCCACAGUGGCUCACGCCUAUAAUCCCAGCACUUUGGGAGUCCAGCACAAGAGGAUGGCUUGAGCCUAGGAGUUCGAGACCAGCGUGGGUGACAAAACGAGACCUUGUCUGUAUUGAAAAAAAAAAAAGAGCCCAAGAUCAGGAUGAGAGCAAAUGGGCUGGAGUCUCCAGAGGAUGGCAAGCAGGUCAGUCCUGGAAGGAGACUUGGGAAACCUGGCAGAUGCUAGGCUAGGCUUGCAGCAAGAGCCUAGCUGCAUGACUGCACCAACCUGGAGGUAGGAGGGAGAGAGGGGGCUGAUGAGGAUGGGACCUGGUUGGGCUGCAGUCCAGAGGCUGUGCUGGGAUUUGAGUCAAAGGCAACACGUGCUCCUGAAGUUCAGAGAAGGAGGCAAUUUGUGUUGGGCUGGUUAUCAUCACCUUCUAUCCCUCCAAACACCCAGGCUGGGCCUGGUCUUCUUGCGAAGUUCUCUCUUGCUUCCCUCAGGGAGUCAUGGAAACAAUUAGGGGUGAUAGCAAAUAACUUUGUAGCCACCCUAUUCCCUUAGAGAACCUCCUCCCACUUUUCCAUCUUCCUAUGGGCAUUUCCUAAAGCCUAGCCUAGAGGUGACAAGAAAGGAGAGUGUUUUUCUGAUUUCACAGAGCAGAGCACCACUCCUAGCUAAAGCUCAAGAUGAGGCAGAACUUGAGGCCACGUGUGUUAAAGAGUGCAAAUUCAUCCUCGCAGAUUUUUCAGAGAUUCCAUCUAAAGCAUCCUUAGGCUGAAUAAUGAAGAAUUCAGCUCUCGUCCCCACCCCCUCUCUCUGCCUUUCUCCACACUCAUACCCUCCCCCGCACCCAUUUCAGAAUCUUCUCUUUUUCUGCUGCAGUCUCCUCCUCCUCCUCCUCCCUCACCUCCCUUCUUAGCAGGAGCACACCAGGACAAGAAAAUGCUACUACAGGAGACUCCCAGCCACAAGAACUGGUUUCUCAGAAUGAGUAGUUAAUGUAGACCUGGCCACAAAGUCAUUGCCACGCUGAGCACAUUUCUGUCUCACCAUGUCUAAGGAACCCAAGAAAUAACCAGUUGCAUUUAGUGGACUUCACCCAAACUGUGCCCUGGGUUGCCUUGGGGAGCUGGUUCUGCUGCUUCAGGCUAACUCACUUCUUGUGGCAGGAGGCUGCUGAUAUGUGAGUUUGAGUUUUAUGCAAUUUCUCAUAUAAGAGGAGAGCCUGAGUCCAUGGAAAUUAAGGUUGAACAUCCUGAGUAUGCAGUUCCUUGGACAGCCACCAAGAAAAGACCUAAGCAGGAGACAUGAUGUCACCUUCGGGGAGGAGACUCUUCAGUUGUCUGACAUGAGAGGAGCAGGAAUAAGGAGGAUCACUGGCCUUGAACCCCCAAGGAGAAGCCAGAGCACCUUUCUGGGACCCAGUCCAGGCUUUGUCUUGAAUAUGCAGCUCCAAAAGAGAUGCUGUGCAGAUUCAAGCUGCCAAAUCCUGAAGGCCCUGAGGGAGAACCCAACCCCAAGCAGCCCAGAUGAUAUCUGGGUAUCCUGUGCCCUACCCACGAAGAUCAGAAGCCUAAAGUCUAGAGCUCACUGCGGAACCAGACUAAAGACAGCUUAAGGGCCACUGAGCCCAGCCUUCCUGAUCUCUCAUGGAAAGGGGAAGAGAGAAAAGGGCCUCCCCUCAUCAACCCACCAGCUCCUGAGUCCCUUUAGCCCUUGGCAUGGUAAUUAACGGUCAGGAAGUUAUGCAUCAGCCUCAGCAAGCUAACAUGGCAGGAGAUCCCUCCUGACAGCAGAGCUAAUAAGAAAUUUGCUAAUGCAAUUUUUCACUUUAAAAAGCCAUAUGUCUGUGGGGAUGCGCACUUCUCUGCAGCAGCUAGUGUAAUUGUCAGAGCAGAGCAGCAAGCAGCUCUCGGAAGGGGGUGAGGAUGAUGUCUUCACUAAAUCAGUGGUGCAAUGCAGCAGGCAAGGGGCUGGGAUGAGGGGUGUGAUGCUGGUUGGAGGGCCCCCCCCUCAAGCUCCCAGGAAGCUAGGGCUGCAGGCCCCUUCUGGGGCUCCAUUAAACACCAGAGGAGCCCGAACUCCAGCCCCUGCUGCCUUUGAGCUGCAUGAACCUGUGCAUUGGUUCCUGGCACAGUGUUAAAAUAAGAAGCCACUCUGCAGUGAUGACUGAUCUGAGUCUCCGCCAUUGGGUGUCAACACACAGGACCCCACUCCAGCAGCUCCUGGGGGCAGGGCUGAUGCCAUGUGCACAUUUGCUCUUUCCCUCCCAGACUCCUGCAAUAACUUCAUUCCCCCGCAAGAGCCACUGGUUCUUAGUCAGAGUCAGGGAAAGAGGGUUAGAAAUCCACCUCGGGCCCAAGAACAGCUCUGCUCCGUUUAGACAAAAGGCAAAUUGCUUUGAGUACCCAGUGUUUGGCAAAAAUAAAGAGUGGUUUCUGCAAAAGAGAAAAACUGCUGUUGUGGGAUUUUGAUUCAAACCCUCAAUUGCAAACCAUUUUUCCCAAAGCAAAUUGAUAGAGAAGCAAGUAAAACAAGUGCUCCUUCUGGGAAUGGAGUCCAGGGCUGCUGAAAAGGCUGUGGGAAGGAGUAAGAAUAUCCACGUGGCUGGGUCUCUGCUGUUUUCUGGAAGAGUCCCCACUCUCAGUUAUCUGUGGAAUGAGAGGGGCUGGGGAGAGGGUUGAGGUAGGGCAAGCCACCACCAACACCCAGAGAAACAUUACAACCAGUUUCCACCCACUAAAUUUCCCUCUAAAGCAAAUUUUGACCCUAAAUGUUUUCUGUCCUUUAAAUUAAUGCUUCUGGUUUUGUUUUGUUUU